rnacentral:rRNA from 1 species
CGGCGGACGGGUGAGUAACACGUGGGUAACCUGCCUGUAAGACUGGGAUAACUCCGGGAAACCGGGGCUAAUACCGGAUGCUUGUUUGAACCGCAUGGUUCAAACAUAAAAGGUGGCUUCGGCUACCACUUACAGAUGGACCCGCGGCGCAUUAGCUAGUUGGUGAGGUAAUGGCUCACCAAGGCAACGAUGCGUAGCCGACCUGAGAGGGUGAUCGGCCACACUGGGACUGAGACACGGCCCAGACUCCUACGGGAGGCAGCAGUAGGGAAUCUUCCGCAAUGGACGAAAGUCUGACGGAGCAACGCCGCGUGAGUGAUGAAGGUUUUCGGAUCGUAAAGCUCUGUUGUUAGGGAAGAACAAGUACCGUUCGAAUAGGGCGGUACCUUGACGGUACCUAACCAGAAAGCCACGGCUAACUACGUGCCAGCAGCCGCGGUAAUACGUAGGUGGCAAGCGUUGUCCGGAAUU